GACGAACGCUGGCGGCGUGCUUAACACAUGCAAGUCGAACGGUGAAGCUCCAGCUUGCUGGAGUGGAUCAGUGGCGAACGGGUGAGUAACACGUGAGCAACCUGCCCCUGACUCUGGAAUAAGCGCUGGAAACGGCGUCUAAUACUGGAUACGAGAAGGGUCCGCAUGGGCACUUUCUGGAAAGUUUUUCGGUUGGGGAUGCGCUCGCGGCCUAUCAGCUUGUUGGUGAGGUAAUGGCUCACCAAGGCGACGACAGGUAGCCGGCCUGAGAGGGCGACCGGCCACAAUGGGACUGAGACACGGCCCAGACUCCUACGGGAGGCAGCAGUGGGGAAUAUUGCACAAUGGGCGAAAGCCUGAUGCAGCGACGCCGCGUGAGGGAUGACGGCCUUCGGGUUGUAAACCUCUUUCAGCAGGGAAGAAGCGAAAGUGACGGUACCUGCAGAAGAAGCACCGGCUAACUACGUG
rnacentral:rRNA from 1 species